UACAGAGGGUGCAAACGUUGUUCGGAAUCACUGGGCAUAAAGCGUACGUAGGCUGCGCCGUAAGUGUCGGAUGAAAUCCCACGGCUUACCCGUGGAACGGUCCGGCAUACUGCGGUGCUAGAGGAUGGUAGAGGAGAGCGGAACUCUUGGUGGAGCGGUGAAAUGCGUAGAUAUCAAGAGGAAUACCAGAGGCGAAGGCGGCUACCUGGACAAUUGCUGACGCUCAGGCACGAAAGCGUGGGGAGCAAAAGGG
rnacentral:rRNA from 1 species